CCUACGGGUGGCAGCAGUAGGGAAUAUUGCUCAAUGGGGGAAACCCUGAAGCAGCAACGCCGCGUGGAGGAUGAAGGUUUUCUGAUUGUAAACUCCUUUUGUUAGAGAAGAUAAUGACGGUAUCUAACGAAUAAGCACCGGCUAACUCCGUGCCAGCAGCCGCGGUAAUACGGAGGGUGCAAGCGUUACUCGGAAUCACUGGGCGUAAAGAGCGCGUAGGCGGGAUAGCAAGUCAGAUGUGAAAUCCUAUGGCUUAACCAUAGAACUGCAUUUGAAACUGUUAUUCUAGAGUGUGGGAGAGGUAGGCGGAAUUCUUGGUGUAGGGGUAAAAUCCGUAGAGAUCAAGAGGAAUACUCAUUGCGAAGGCGACCUGCUAGAACAUAACUGACGCUGAUGCGCGAAGGCGUGGGGAGCAAACAGGAUUAGAUACCCGGGUAGUC
rnacentral:rRNA from 1 species